GUCUCAAUCAGAUGGCAGGUCAUGGAUAAAUCGUCAAAUUUCAACAUCGAUCAUAUGAUAGAUUCAAUCAGCUUAAGUCUUUAUGUGACUCUAUGAAAACUUUUUUCCAUCAAUCACAAUGUUAUGGCCAUAAACUUAAGGACUCAGCCUCUUAAAUUUCAUAAAACUACUCCUUUUUGCUAGAAUCGAUAGAUCCCAUCUUGAUCACACUCCGCUUCUACAGUGGACCAACUAUCACCAACAUUCACUAC
rnacentral:lncRNA from 1 species